rnacentral:rRNA from 1 species
CCCUUAGAUGUUCUGGGCCGCACGCGCGCUACACUGAUGCAUUCAACGAGUUUCUUCCUGGUCCGAGAGGAAUGGGUAACCUUUUGAAAGUGCAUCGUGAUAGGGAUAGACUAUUGCAAUUAUUGGUCUUCAACGAGGAAUUCCUAGUAGACGUAGUUCAUCAGACUGCAUCGAUUACGUCCCUGCCCUUUGUACACACCGCCCGUCGCUCCUACCGAUUGAAUGCUCAGGUGAGCCAUUCGGACUUUCAUCAUGCUGGUUUCCAUUUUUGAUGAAGGAAAGUCUUGCGAACCUUAUCAUUUAGAGGAAGGAGAAGUCGUAACA